AAUGAACGCUAGCGGCAGGCCUAACACAUGCAAGUCGAGGGAGAAGCCCUUUCGGGGGCAGACACCGGCGCACGGGUGCGUAACGCGUAUGCAACCUACCUUUCACAGGGGGAUAGCCCGAAGAAAUUUGGAUUAAUACCCCAUAAUAUUAUUGGAUGGCAUCAUUUGAUAAUUAAAACUGCGGUGGUGAAAGAUGGGCAUGCGUCCUAUUAGCUAGUUGGAGUGGUAACGGCACCCCAAGGCUACGAUAGGUAGGGGUCCUGAGAGGGAGAUCCCCCACACUGGUACUGAGACAGGGACCAGACUCCUACGGGAGGCAGCAGUGAGGAAUAUUGAUCAAUGGUCGGAAGACUGAACCAGCCAUGCCGCGUGCAGGAAGAAUGCCUUAUGGGUUGUAAACUGCUUUUAUAUGGGAAGAAUAAGGCGUACGUGUACGUUGAUGACGGUACCAUAUGAAUAAGCAUCGGCUAACUCCGUG
rnacentral:rRNA from 1 species